UUAUGGCCUGGGCUACAAACGUAAUACAAUGGCGUAUACAAAGGGAUGCGAAAGGGCGACCUGGAGCAAAACUCACAAAAGUACGUCUCAGUUCAGAUUGGAGUCUGCAACUCGACUCCAUGAAGGCGGAAUCGCUAGUAAUCGCGGAUCAGCAUGCCGCGGUGAAUACGUUCUCGGGUUU
rnacentral:rRNA from 1 species